UACGAGGGGGGCGAGCGUUGUUCGGAAUUAUUGGGCGUAAAGGGUGCGUAGGCGGCCUUGUAAGUCAGUGCUGAAAUAUCCCGGCUUAACCGGGAGGGUGGCAUUGAUACUGCAGGGCUUGAGUAAAGUUGAGGUUGGCGGAAUUGACGGUGUAGCGGUGAAAUGCUUAGAUAUCGUCAAGAACACCGAUAGUGAAGACAGCUAACUAAGCUUUAACUGACGCUGAGGCACGAAAGUGUGGGGAUCAAACAGG
rnacentral:rRNA from 1 species